GAAUCUUCCGCAAUGGGCGAAAGCCUGACGGGGCGACGCCGCGUGAACGAAGAAGGCCUUCGGGUGGUAAAGUUCUGUCAGUAGAGAAGAACGAGCAUCGGUUAAUAGCCGGUGCUUUGACGUUAUCUUCAGAGGAAGCCCUGGCUAACUCCGUGCCAGCAGCCGCGGUAAUACGGAGAGGGCAAGCGUUGUUCGGAAUCACUGGGCAUAAAGGGCACGUAGGCGGAUCAGAAAGUCGGUUGUGAAAGCCCGGGGCUCAACCCCGGAACUGCUUCCGAAACUUCUGGUCUAGAGGGUGAGAGGGGAGAGUGGAACUUCUGGUGGAGCGGUGAAAUGCGUAGAGAUCAGAAGGAACACCGGUGGCGAAAGCGACUCAUCUGGCUCAUUCCUGAC
rnacentral:rRNA from 1 species